AUUUUACGAUACCACUACAACAGAAUUAGGUUAUAGGGACAUAUGUUUGGGACACUUUUGAGUAAGUGUCUCAUUUAUCCUAAAAUUUAAAAAAAUAUCUACUAAUGCCUAAAUAUAAAGCCCAAUCCAACCAAAAAUAAAAGAUUACUUUACUCAACCCACCACACCCAGUCCAUUUGGCCCGAUUACAAACAGAAAAGAAAAAAAAAAAGAAAAAUCAAUUAUCAUCUUUUCUUCUCUCUUCACUCAAUCCACUGAAAUUCUAGACGAAGAGCCUUUCCUGUCGUCCUCCUCCGCCACCGCAGCCAACGAGAUAGAGUUUCGGGGGUUGCUAAAUGCUUAAAUAAGUGUUGGUAAAUUAGCAGCACUCUUUUAGGUUAUAGCGACACUCUUUAAUUGUCACUAUAUACCUAGUGACCCCACAUAUAGUAACACUUUUUAAAAGUGUCGGUAAUUUUAGCUAGCAGCACUUUUUUGACAUGUACCUAUAUAUAUUUAAAAGUGUUGCUAUGGACCGUUUUUGUUGUAGUGUACUUAAAU
rnacentral:lncRNA from 1 species